AGGGGCAAACACAGUUCAGCUGAAAUUGCAAACCAAGGAAGGUGCCUGUGACUAUACUUGGAUCCAAGCCAUGGUCACUCAUUUCCUACCCUGAUGUUUUAGCUACAUCCUUCCUGCAGUCUGUCUGUGCCUGAGGUUCCCAGGCAUUUGCCAGAGCUUUAUUGAAGUUGACUUUUGCAUAUGUAGACAAGAAAUGCAGCAGGGAUUCAGCAGGGAGUGUUACCAGUGCCUCCACUCUGCUGUCGGUAAUGAAGUGCUGCACUGUCAGGCGGGUGAGAAACCUUUGUUUCUGGAGUGCUGAUGAACAUCUUCCAUGGAAAAGGAAAAAAAAACACGUCAAGAGCUUUCUUGGCCAUCAUGUUGAGACGAUGUUCAGCUAGAAAAUAGAGGACAAAAAGACUGUGCAAAGUCAUUGAAAACAUAAAAAUCAGAAAAAAAGAAAGUAAAUUACUUACAAGAGCUGAAGAAGUUUCUGAAGGGAAGGUAGGGAUUUUCAGUUGUAAAAAGGAUAUGAUUGUUUUAACUUUUACUAUUUGGAAAAGAGAACUUUGGAAUUACAAUAAAGUUAUGGCAAGAUAAAAUAAGAUGUUUAAU
rnacentral:lncRNA from 1 species